rnacentral:rRNA from 1 species
GACGAACGCUGGCGGCGUGCUUAACACAUGCAAGUCGAACGCUGAAGCUCAGCUUUUGUUGGGUGGAUGAGUGGCGAACGGGUGAGUAACACGUGAGUAACCUGCCUCCUUCUUUGGGAUAACGCCCGGAAACGGGUGCUAAUACUGGAUAUUCACUGGUCUUCGCAUGGGGGUUGGUGGAAAGGGUUUUUCUGGUGGGGGAUGGGCUCGCGGCCUAUCAGCUUGUUGGUGGGGUGAUGGCCUACCAAGGCUUUGACGGGUAGCCGGCCUGAGAGAGUGAACGGUCACAUUGGGACUGAGAUACGGCCCAGACUCCUACGGGAGGCAGAAGUGGGGAAUAUUGCACAAUGGGCGCAAGACUGAUGCAGCGACGCUGCGUGAGGGAUGGAGGCCUUCGGGUUGUGAACCUCUUUAGCUCAUGGUCAAGCCGCAACAAUGGUUGUGGUGAGGGUAGUGGGUAAAGAAGCGCCGGCUAACUACGUG